rnacentral:rRNA from 1 species
GACGAACGCUGGCGGCGUGCCUAAUACAUGCAAGUAGAACGCUGAAGAGAGGAGCUUGCUCUUCUUGGAUGAGUUGCGAACGGGUGAGUAACGCGUAGGUAACCUGCCUUGUAGCGGGGGAUAACUAUUGGAAACGAUAGCUAAUACCGCAUAACAAUGGAUGACCCAUGUCAUUUAUUUGAAAGGGGCAAAUGCUCCACUACAAGAUGGACCUGCGUUGUAUUAGCUAGUAGGUGAGGUAACGGCUCACCUAGGCGACGAUACAUAGCCGACCUGAGAGGGUGAUCGGCCACACUGGGACUGAGACACGGCCCAGACUCCUACGGGAGGCAGCAGUAGGGAAUCUUCGGCAAUGGGGGCAACCCUGACCGAGCAACGCCGCGGGAGUGAAGAAGGUUUUCGGAUCGUAAAGCUCUGUUGUAAGUCAAGAACGAGUGUGAGAGUGGAAAGUUCACACUGUGACGGUAGCUUACCAGAAAGGGACGGCUAACUACGUG